AUAUAAACCCCUUCCGUCCCUUCAACAACCAUCUCUUCUUUUUAUCACUUCACUGCUGGCUUGCGCUUAAUGUCAUAAAUUUUGCAUGAUUUUCUCAACUCCUUAUUCCUUCUUCUCUGUCUAUUCUUUCUCAUGCUCCUGCUCCAGUUCUUGCUCAUGCUUUCUACUGCUCAAGCCUCAAGAGAUUAUUUUCAUGGAGCCGCUGAUACCUUUGUGCCUCCUUGAAACGUCCAAAGAAGAACAUCAGUAUUCUGGCUUCCAUCACAAGUAUAAAAUCAACAGGAGUUUAAGGGUGCUAUCCUUGCUGAGCUUUUUUGGAUUUUCAUUAUUAAUAUUUUUCAUUUAAUUUUUUUCUUGACCUUGCAAGACUUUCUAAUUCUUGUGUUAAGAUUUGUAAGGUUUUUAUUUUUGUUUUGAUUUUUUAUUUUUAUUUUUAUCUUGAUCAAUCCUCCCAUCUUUCUUUUUUGUCUCUAUUCCUCCUGAGCUUUACUGAAAUAAAAAAAAAUUGAAUAUCUCUUUCUAAUGUUGUAUUAUAUAAUUUACUAUUUU
rnacentral:lncRNA from 1 species